CGUGGUUGCUAAUUGUGACUCGAGUUGGAGAUUGUAGACGGUGCAUCCUACCGUUAUACGGACACUUUUUUCAGCAACAUUCAUCGCUAUAGAAAGGAGUGACUGCAAUGGCGGCAACAGACACUAAGGACGGCAGUUUCGCGAGUGACCUGCGCGUGCUUUUGGAAUCCGGCGAGGGUGCGGACGUGACCCUGGUGGUGGGUCCCUCACAAAUGCCGGCCCACAGUUUCAUUUUGUCAGCUAGGAGCCGCGUCUUUGCAGCCAUGUUGCGGAAUAACAUGAAAGAAGCCAGCAACCGCCGAAUUGAGAUAACUGAUGUGCAGGAGGAUGUGCUACACCAACUACUGUGUUUCAUGUAUACUGACACAGCUCCGGGCCUAGAGAGCGUGGCAGCCGAGUUGCUGGCCGCCUCUGAUAAGUACGACCUGCCGCUGCUCAAAAGGAAGUGCGAGGAAGAGAUGGUAAAGGGCCUGAGUGUGGACAACGCCGCCGCCACUGCGCUCCUCGCCGUGCUGCACUCCUGUUCGGGACUCGAGAGCGCCACCGUGGACUUCGUAGCGAGACACCCGGAAGUGAUGACCUCUGACGGCUGGAUAGAUGUUUUGCGGGGCAAUCCGGAGGCUGCAGCACGAAUCUGCAGGCUGGUGGCAGCGGCAACACCGAAAAUCAGGACUUCAUCUGUGGAGCAGCCGGAGGACUUGGCCGAAAGGCUGACAGAGGCAGCUAGAACCGGCAAAUUGGACGAACUGCAGAACCUGCUGGCCACAGGCGCACCGGUCGACGCGAAGGACGGCAGCGGAUACACCGCCCUGCACCUCGCAGUGACGAAGGCCAGUGUAGACGCCGUCAAGUGUCUCCUGGAUGCGGGGGCGAAUGUCAACGCGAAGGACUCGAGUGAGCAGACACCUCUGCACGCGGCUGCAUACCGAGGUGACUUGAAGAUCGUGUGGGCACUGCUGACGGCGUCAGCAGAGGUAAAUGUUCAGGAUCGUUGGGGGAAGACGCCACUCCACUGGGCUGCUUCCACAAAUUACACCGAAGCAGUAAGAACACUGCUGCUGGCUGGAGCGGACAGAUAUACGAAGGAUAACAGAUACAGUUCACCUGCAGACAUAGCGACAAAAUCCUGUAGAGAUCUAAUCUGCAAUUUUUACUACAGCUAUCCAUAAAUAAGCCUUCUACUUCUAUACCUCAUAAAUUUUAUGAUAAAUAUGUAAUUUACUUCUAUUUUUCCUGUUGUAUCACAGAAAGUUUCGUAAUAGAAUAUUUUACAGGAUUUCUACUCCAUUUGCAGCCAAAUAGGUAUAACCUUAGAUACACCCAUUAACUACCUUCUCUUGGAAUGAAUAAAACCCUAAUCCAAAAUAAGCUACUGUCUGUUAUCAGACAAAAUGGUAAUGAAAGAUCAGGUGCUAUUUCACCCUUACACAGUUGUUCUUUUAUCUUGUCAAAAGCUGCCUCACUCCACUCCCACAUAGUACUUUCUCUUAAGAGGCUGUUCAAUCAUGGUGCAUCCAGUGCCUGUGUUUGUACAUGUUUUCUAUAAUAAUUGGCUAACUGGAAAAAUGGUCUUCAUCCUUUCUUUGAUUUUGAUUUUGGAAAUUUUUCUAUAACAAAAACAUUGUCACUGUCAGGCAAAAUUCCCUUUUCACUUAUGCUGUAGUAAAAAAAACGCCACUCCACUGGGCUGCUUCCACAAACCGCACCGAAGCAGUAAGAACACUGCUGGUGGCUGGAGCGAGCAAAGAUGUGCAGGAUAUGAGUUCCAGAUCACCUGUAGACAUAGCGACAUCACCGUGUAGAGAUAUAUUUCGCAGUUUUGUCUACAGCCAUCCGUAAAUAAGCCUUCUACUUCUAUACCUCAUAAAUUUUAUGAUAAAUAUGUAAUUUACUUCUAUUUUUCCUGUUGUAUCACAGAAAGUUUCGUAAUAGAAUAUUUUACAGGAUUUCUACUCCAUUUGCAGCCAAAUAGGUAUAACCUUAGAUACACCCAUUAACUAGCUUCUCUUGGAAUGAAUAAAACCCUAAUCCAAAAUAAGCUACUGUCUGUUAUCAGACAAAAUGGUAAUGAAAGAUCAGGUGCUAUUUCACCCUUACACAGUUGUUCUUUUAUCUUGUCAAAAGCUGCCUCACUCCACUCCCACAUAGUACUUUCUCUUAAGAGGCUGUUCAAUCAUGGUGCAUCCAGUGCCUGUGUUUGUACAUGUUUUCUAUAAUAAUUGGCUAACUGGAAAAAUGGUCUUCAUCCUUUCUUUGAUUUUGAUUUUGGAAAUUUUUCUAUAACAAAAACAUUGUCACUGUCAGGCAAAAUUCCCUUUUCACUUAUGCUGUAGUAAAAAAAACGCCACUCCACUGGGCUGCUUCCACAAACCGCACCGAAGCAGUAAGAACACUGCUGGUGGCUGGAGCGAGCAAAGAUGUGCAGGAUAUGAGUUCCAGAUCACCUGUAGACAUAGCGACAUCACUGUGUAGAGAUAUAUUUCGCAGUUUUGUCUACAGCCAUCCGUAAAUAAGCCUUCUACUUCUGUACCUCAUAAAUUUUAUGAUAAAUAUGUAAUUUACUUCUAUUUUUCCUGUUGUAUCACAGAAAGUUUUGUAAUAGAAUAUUUUACAGGAUUUCUACUCCAUUUGCAGCCAAAUAGGUAUAACCUUAGAUACACCCAUUAACUACCUUCUCUUGGAAUGAAUAAAACCCUAAUCCAAAAUAAGCUACUGUCUGUUAUCAGACAAAAUGGUAAUGAAAGAUCAGGUGCUAUUUCACCCUUACACAGUUGUUCUUUUAUCUUGUCAAAAGCUGCCUCACUCCACUCCCACAUAGUACUUUCUCUUAAGAGGCUGUUCAAUCAUGGUGCAUCCAGUGCCUGUGUUUGUACAUGUUUUCUAUAAUAAUUGGCUAACUGGAAAAAUGGUCUUCAUCCUUUCUUUGAUUUUGAUUUUGGAAAUUUUUCUAUAACAAAAACAUUGUCACUGUCAGGCAAAAUUCCCUUUUCACUUAUGCUGUAUAAAAAAAAAUUAGUUGUCUUACAAAAAACUAACACUUACAUAGUUUCAGUGUCAUUCCCCCUUCCAAAUUUCUGUUUGUGUAUAAACACAUGAACUCCUGUGCACAUCAUAUUCACCUAUAUCCCCCUCCCGGACCCCUGCAGGUAACAAAUCCCUUUCAAUUUCUUUAAAUUCUAAUCCUUUUUCCUCUUUUAUUGAUGCUUCUGAGGCCCCCAAAGAAUCAAACCUCCCCCCAACCACCAAAUCUGGAUGCAUAAUCUGACAAAUGUCGUUCAGAACACCAGGAACUUCACUAGCAUUACCCAUAUAAUUGUAAUAUGUUACUCUUGAUAUUUUGACUCCAAUAAGCUCACCUUGUUUUUUGACAUCUUUAUGAGUCAACACUAUUUCACUUAUUUGCUAACAGGUACAAGCUGAUUACCAUGUUCUCCUGUUCAUUCGUACCGCAGACAGCUAUAUUCGUAGUAUCAUUUUUCACUAAUUGUUCUUCCUUCACUUCAACAUAAAUCAUUCCGUCUAAGUUGUGACAAAGUAAAACAUGUUCUCGUUCUUCAUUGCCAGAAACCUCACUUUUACCAUCACUGUCUAUAAUAUUAUCAUCUGUCAGUAUCUUUUCAUUAACUUGAAUACUAACACCACAUCUCAAUAUCCUCCUUACAGUUAUUACAUAUCCUGCUAUCUUCCCCAUCUAGUACACAAUUUUCAAUCUCUGCACCUCGAACCUGAGCAGUAAUAGGUUCACAAGCCCCCUCUACAUUUUCAUCUUCCAUUAAUCUUAUAUUGAUCAUACAGGAAUACAUUCAAAUCUACAGAAGAGUGAUACGACAAACAAAAAAAUCACCAAUGGUAACUUCAUACCAGAAUCGGCAAAUAAAAGCCAAGCAGUAUGCAAAGUCAUAAAGAAGGAAGCAUAGAAAGUUUGAUUGAUUGAUUGAUUUCUUUAUUAAUCCAUGUAACAAUUUACAUUGUGUGGAUUUAGUCAGCCAAAUCAUAUACAAUACAAUAUACCUACAAUUAUACACAUAAAAUUUGUAUUUACACACAUUUUUGAGGUAUCUUAAAUUAGUUUUAUAUCCUUGUGUAAUUUGUAAUUUUCUUAUAUUACUGUACAAUUUUUGAUUUCCUCAUGUAUUACAAUGCAGGCUACUUUAAUUACACUUCAUGUUUAAAUUCAGAUAGUCCAUUACUGCGUAAUAACUUU